CUAUAUACUAUAGUAAGCAAUGUCUCUCCUUUUCAUUUGUGAUAGAAAGCUGAUUUGCUUUCACACUGACUUCUGUACUAGGCAGCAUAAUAAAUUAUAUUUCAAUUGUGCAUGAGUACAAAUCCUGUAAACCAAGUGGCAUACCCAUAUGUUUUAUACAGAAAGGGACUGCACUGUGCAUGCUUUGACUCGCACACUUGUGUUUGGUACCAGUACUGAUUUGUCAUUGUGUUUCCUAUCAGGCAUAGGUGCAAAAAUAAUUUAGUGACCAAUCCAAGCAAAUACUACACAACAAACAAUUUGUGGGCUGGAGUCAGUUUGCCCUUGGGAGUCAUUGGCAGGACUUUACCAGGUAGCAGAACCACGCCUGGUCCCAGUUCAUUGCCUGGGGGUUAUGCGUUUCUUAAGAAGGAAGUAGGUUCUGCUGGCCAAAGAGUACAGCUGGCAUCACCUGUAGAUUCACCGUCUACUUAUGCAUCCCAUCGAAGCCAACCCUCAACAUUUGUUCCGCCUUCCAAGAGUACAUUUGGGCUAAUGCCACGGCCACCACCCGUGCAAGCUACCUAUGGUAGGACAGUCUGGACUUCGAAAUAUGGGGGACAUAAAUAAGAAUUAAAUAUGCGAACCAUUCACAAUCUCCCAGUCCAUCAACAUAAGGAAUCUAAAACAAGAUGUAUCCAUAUCCAUCUGCUUCACCUAAAAUUCUAGUGGAAGAGGACAUGGCAGCAGAUUGACCUCCGUGUGUAACAUACUUGUACCUUUUACACCAGUCACUUUUGUGAAUUAGUUUUCAAGUAACGGUGUGUGCUGAAGACAGCAUACAGUAUAAUGCUGCAUUCAGCGUUUGUGUCAAUAUAACUGUUCUAAUCAGUAUUGUUAUAAUAUGUUUUUCAUUUUUGUGCAAUAGAGCCCACCCCUAACCAACACGUCAUCAGCAAGCGCAUAAAGGCUCCAUGUGUUAUUCUCCCACGUCGCUUCUUUUGUUUCGGCCUCUCAGUCUUGCGCUGGGAAGUCGAAACGGGAGCUUGGAGCCUGGAGGAUGGUCUACCCUCAGCCAGUGAUUACCUGAGGUUUCCCCCACAUCAAAAAUUUAAAAAUAUGUGAGUAGGGUUUUUUUCCUUACCUGAGUACUGAGCAGUUUGUAUUUAGUUCUGCGGUGUUGUCAGGCUGGAGAGGCUGGGCUUUUUCCCACAGCGCAGUCAUUCCUUUGGGUACAAACCAUGUCUCAGCUGCUCAUUUUCAUUACUUUUUCAAUAUUUGGGUUUAAUAAUCACUCCUUAUUAUUUUCCAUUCCUGGUUUGGCAGCCUUGUCUUGGGGGAGGUGGCCCAAAGCCACUUCCUAUCUGCGGCAUUGGGAUGCAUGUAAAUGUUCAUGUUUUUCCAGACGAUCUCGCACAGGUAGCUGUCGAGCACCCAUGGACGAGGCCUCCAGCCAAACUUAUCAUUCAAUCAGGCCCCGAGCGCCUCUCACAGUUCAUUAAGUCAGCUGCAAUUGCAAUCAAUAAAUCAUUCAUUCAUUGCGGAUUCUCCAUGCUGAAAUGUAUAAUUUGUAUAGCCAGGUUUUAAAUAUGGCUACAUUUGUAUGAAUGUUUGUUUGUUUUUUCACAACUGUUUUUGUAUAAUUUUUCUAGAAGAGUAAUUAAUUUAUUUUAAUGGAAAUGCAGAUUGCAUAUUUCAACAGCAUACUAUACCGCACAAACAAUCACUGUUUGUCAAUGUUUUAUUAGAGGGAGGAAUGUUUUUUUUAUUCAAAACUCAUUUUAUAGAGUGAAGUAGCUGAUUACAAAUCAGUAUUUAUUUAAUUUAUUUAGUGCUAAAUCAUGUGUGGGUUAAAUGUGCAUACUUUUCCAUUAUCUUACUAGAAAGCAGAGUUAAAGCAAAACAUUGCAAAAGCUAUGAUGCUUUUUUUCAUUUUUAAUGUGCAGAUAUUGCUUUAUUCAUUUAUGCUUGUCAUUCUUAUUAGUAAUCUUUCUGAUUCAGAUUUGUUUGUACUUUAAUAUAGAGUUUACAGACCACAUUUCACAAAUUGCAAUACAAACAGUUGUUGUGUUACUUUCUGGCUUUUAUGUCUCCGUUCACUAAAGUUGCUUUUCCAGAUUUACCUGUUGUUUGGACUUAAAUCCCUGCAAUAUGGUGGCAUUUUGCACACAAAUACUUGACAUGUUCAUGUUUGCUAAAUGUGGUCUGGAAUCUCUUAAAUAUGUAAUGUGUAUACCCUAGAAAUGUACAGUGCCACAGUUCAACUGAACAUUAAAACUCUUUCUGCUGUAUGUUGAGUAAAACUCUGCUAUUUGAUCAGUAACUACAGGUCCCUUGUAAGGAACUGGUUUUGUUAUUGAUUGCAACAGUUGUUUUUUUUAAGUAUUUAAGUUUGACAAAGCUGGCCUUGCAAUUUAGAAUUCAAUGUUUCACUUUUUAUAGACACCGUAUAUGCUGGCAGCAUUUGAAGACAUAUUUUUAUACUUUUUGUUUUGUUGCUGUAAAACUGGCCAUUCACACAAAGUGUAUACAAAAAUGUCCAUUCCAAAAAUACAUUCUGUUUCUAUUUGGUGAAUGCUUCAUUUGCUGUGGAAUGCCAACCAAUUACUUAGAAAUGCCGGUUAAUGAAACAUUGUUAUAUUCAGAAGUUGUUAUUUUAGUUCUGCUUCGGGAACUUGUUUGUAAUACCUUAGAGUAAUAAUGGACAUUUGCAGGAUUAUCAGUUCCUGCUGAAAAUAGUAACCAGUUAGUUUUCUAUAGCAGGGCUUUUCAAACUCGGUCCUGGGGACUCCCUGUGGCUGCUGGUUUUCAUUCCAACUGAGCUCUCAGUUAAUUAAC